UAACGAAUCUUCCGCAAUGCACGAAAGUGUGACGGAGCGACGCCGCGUGGAGGACGAAGUUCUUCGGAAUGUAAACUCCUGUCAGGGGAAAGAAAGUUCUGAUCUACCCCAGAGGAAGAGGCGGCUAACUCUGUGCCAGCAGCCGCGGUAAUACAGAGGCCUCGAGCGUUAGACGGAAUCACUGGGCUUAAAGCGUGUGUAGGCGGAAGGGUAAGUACCUUGUGAAAUCCCACGGCUUAACCGUGGAACGGCUUGGUAUACUGCUUUUCUUGAGCAAUCUAGGGGCGAGUGGAACAGAUGGUGGAGCGGUGAAAUGCGUAGAUAUCAUCUGGAACGCCAAUGGUGAAGACAACUCGCUGGGGAUUUGCUGACGCUGAGACACGAAAGCCAGGGGAGCGAACGGGAUUAGAUACCCAAGUAGUCCCUGAGCGGGCUGGCAAGGCGCAU
rnacentral:rRNA from 1 species